rfam:Acidiphilium sp. CAG:727 genomic scaffold, scf131
AUUUCGGAUAGAGGCGCAGACCUCAUAAGUAGCAGUUUGCAUUACGCCGCUCGUACGGCGCGGAUUGCGAAAGGGUGGUUUGCCGAAACGGCGCGGUUUUCGAGAAUCGCGAUUCGUUGGGCGACGGAACAAUAUUUCGUCGACUGUCGUUUGUUUGCAAACGGAGGGCUAUCGUGAUA